ACUACCAGAUUAAAGAUCUAUACAACAAACUCAAAUUUAACCACUUCUUGCCUAAUUAAAGCAAUGUAGAAAUUAUAAAAAUCACCUCAUUGCAACUCACAAAGAUCAUGAAGUUCAAGUAGUUCAAUCACAUCAACAGGAUCACAAAAACAAACACACACAGAAAUUGAUCAAAAUCAGAUCUACCCACAUGACCAAUCAAACUAACUUACAUAACAAAAAACAAGAUCUGAGCAACAAGUGACAGAGAACGACGGAGAGUUUAGAUUCAGUAAUUUGGUUUUGUAGACGGAGAACGACGGAGAAGAUACAAACCUUGCCGGAUCUAUGAUCUUAACACCUGGUAGACUCAUCGUAAUCGUCCCUCCACGACAGCGGUGUGCUAGGGCUCCCUUGCUGUCCUUUACCGACGGUGGAUAUUUGCUGUAACCAUUUGAGAGAAAGCUCAAGCAAGACAAGAGUGAGGACGAUGAUUCAUAAAGCAACCCCUCAAUUAUAGAUACAAUUGACGGUUUCGAUCGAGACUUAUGGUCGCCCCAUCUUGGAGGAUUCAGACUCAACGGCGGUGCAGGUGUCGGCAGUGAUGAUGAUCGUUUGAUGUGUAAUAAGAGGUCCACCACAAGAGCGUCGGUGGUAAUCGCUGCAGCAACCCAGGGUAUUGUGAGGUGCAGGUGUCGGCAGUGAUGAUGAUCAUGUGAGGUGGUUACAGAUGGAUGAUAAAAUUAAGAAGAGAAAAUUGAGUGUUUAUGGAUAUUGUUUGAUGAUGUGGAUAUAACUUUGCCUACAUCAUCACCACGUAAUCAGCUCCAACUCAUCAAAUUUGUACCACGUCGGAUAAAAAACAAACUCAGUUAGUGGAGAUUUAACUGAGUGGUGCCAGCACAAACAAAAGGUCAAGUUGGGGGUGUCGGGUGUCAAAGUGUUAGUUGCGGGUGGCAACGGCCAAAGGCCGAUAGUUGAGGGUGAUAAAAUCCAAUAACCCUAUAUUAAAAUCAGUUUAUAUUCCCCUAUCUCUCUCUCACACUUAACACCAACACCAUCCAUCCACACCACCGUCCUGCCUUCCACCCUACCAUAACCCUACGCUGCCAUCCACCCUACCACCAUAAUCCCCUGUUCAAGAACCAUUGGCCACCACCCACUGCGACCACCUGCCCCACACCACCAACCACUGCUUAAUCUGGAUCUAGAAGCCUAUUUGAGAUGAUAUCGAAAAAAAAAACGACGUUGGGUUUUGAUUUUUGGGGGAAAACGGGGUUAUGAUGAUGAUCAGGUGAUGUUGAUGAGGGGAACAGUGUUGCUGUCGCAAUCAGGUAACGAGAUUCCGCAAUAAGGUAACGAGGGGAACAGUGUGAAAUCGUUGUUGAAGAUGUACAAGGAUUGCGUGUUGUUAUGUGCUGAGAAGGAUGAAUCUGGAUCGAUUGUAUGUUUUCAUUUGAUUCCGCAAUCAGGUAACGAGUUUUAGUAGUUUGAUUUUGUAAUUUUUGUUCGAUUUGUUCGUUUUCAUUGAGUAAUAUGUUUUGAGAUUAUGAGUUGUAUCGGUUUUGUUGUUCAUAUGGAAAUGUGUUUGGAGAUUUA